ARUUKCUUGCYGGMUYCRKGGKMAUSCUGGCGGCGUGCUUAACACAUGCMAGUCGAACGAUUAAAGCCCCUUCGGGGGUGUAUAGAGKGGCSAACGGGUGAGUAACACGUGGGCRAUCUGCCCCUCACUUCGGGAUAACUCAGGGAAACUUGAGCUAAUACCGAAUACUCCGGUCGGAUCGCAUGGUCUGAUUGGGAAAGCUCCGACGGUGAGGGAUGAGCCCGCGGCCCAUUAGCUAGUUGGUAGGGUAAUGGCCUACCAAGGCAACGAUGGGUAGCCGCGCUGAGAGGCGGAUCGGCCACACUGGGACUGAGACACGGCCCAGACUCCUACGGGAGGCRGCAGUGGGGAAUUUUGMGCAAUGGGCGAAAGCCUGACGCAGCAACGCCGCGUGCGGGAUGAAGGCUCUCGGGUCGUAAACCGCUUUCAGCAGGGAUGAAAUUGACAGUACCUGCAGAAGAAGCCCCGGCUAAAUACGUGCCAGCAGCCGCGGUAAUACGUAUGGGGCAAGCGUUAUCCGGAUUCAUUGGGCGUAAAGAGCGCGUAGGCGGAUUGUUAAGUCAGAUGUGAAAACUGGGGGCUCAACCCGCAGCCUGCAUCUGAAACUGGCAGUCUUGAGUCUGGUAGAGGAGUGUGGAAUUCCCAGUGUAGCGGUGAAAUGCGCAGAUAUUGGGAGGAACACCAGUGGCGAAGCGGCACUCUGGGCCGCGACUGACGCUGAGGCGCGAAAGCUAGGGGAGCAAACAGGAUUAGAUACYCCUGGUAGUCCUAGYCGUAAACGAUGGGCACUAGGUGUGGGAGGUCAUCAACUCCCUCCGUGCCGCAGCUAACGCAUUAAGUGCCYCGCCUGGGGAGUACGGCCGCAAGGCUAAAACUCAAAGGAAUUGACGGGGGUCSGCACAGCAGCGGAGCAUGUGGCUUAAUUCGAAGCAACSCGAAGAACCUUACYAGGCUGACAUGCAGAGUAAACGGCGAAUCGUCYYGUCCGAAAGGCUCUGCACAGGUGGUGCAUGCUGUYGUCASCUCUGUCUGRAAUGAUGGUAGUUCCSCUACGAGGCCAACCCCUGUCGUWGUUGCCRMCAUAGUUGGAAUUACCGGACUGCUGGCUCAGUCGARRAAGUGUGGAAKARCYCARGUCWMUCWUGUG
rnacentral:rRNA from 1 species